rnacentral:lncRNA from 1 species
GUUUUCUUAUUGCAUAAUUGCUGACAUAUCUAUAAGUAAAAAUGAUAUUUUAUAAUUCACCUCUCUUUUACACAAUACAGUAAACAGUCACAUUCCUCUCACUUAGAUUAGUCUAACCACAUCGUUCGAGCACACGAUCACCCCAUUCAAGGCACAAUCUCUCCAAAAUAUUCUUUGUUGUAACCCUAGAUUUCUCUACGUUACCCAAUUAUAUCUUCAUCAUCAUACAUAUCUAUCUCAAAACACAACAUUUUGGGUGGCUGUGAGGUGACUGGGUAAAGGAUUUGGUGUUUCGAGGAUGGUGGUAGAAAGGUGGACAGAAGACAAUGGGCGAUGAUUUUUUGCGUGGGCGGGUGGGUUUGAAAUUAUACUAGUUGGGUCGACGGCUAAUAUAGUUUCCUCUUCGGGUUGAGGUGGAGAGACUAAAGUACCAAUUGUUGGAAGAGGAUUGCCUACGGGAUAGCUGUUCAAGUCUGAAACACGCAAAAUGUGGAAUGGGGAAAGGACUUAGAAGUUUGGAUUCAUUUCAUCAUACCAAAUGCCACCUUGAACUAUGGGAAUACCCAAGCAGGUCAUUAUAUGAUUGCAGUAUAUUCCUUUUUUUUGGCAUGUUUUUGUUGUAACAUAAAUAAUUAAAGUUUUAAAAUUUCAAAUCAAUACCUUUUUAAUUUUCAGUUUUUAUUUUUAAUUUUUAGAAUAAAUACAAAAUUAAAACCAUUAACGUGGGUUUGAUUUUUCACUAAAAGUGAUGAAAAUUUCAUUGUUUGAUGCAACAUAGAAAUGCUUGAAUAUAUUCUCUAUAUAUGUUUAUAUUUUAUUAUUUUGGCAACUUGAUAAAUAGUACUUUUCUCUCUGUGAUCGUGACCAUAGAAGGAGAUUAAUCUGUGAGUUAUAUUGGUUUUAUCUUUAAAGGUGAAGCAACACAACUUUAGGACAACGUCAUUGACGUAACUCUUUAAGGCUUGCUUUAUAAAUCUGGUCUCAUGUUUAUGUUAUAUUGAGUUAUAUGCUUAUUGUGUUUAAUUACAUUAUUUAUACUUGUUAUGAUAAUCAAAUAAUCUAUAAUAAAUUCACUUGUUUUUCUCAACAAUUUAAAGUCGUGUUAUGGUGAUUUGUAUGUAGUGGAAUAAUUAGUUCUUCUUCUUCAUCCAAGUUUACUCUUUGUAAUUGAAUUUUGAUGUGCUCUAGUAUUAAUCUAAAUUUUGAUGAAAUCAAUAUAUCUGUUAAAUAAAAUAUUAGAUAUGACGUGUGAAUAUUUGGUCGGUAGCUUAGCUUUUAUACGUUACUUUAGAUCCCUCACACUUAUUUGUAACACAAGUUUUGUACAGAUUUUGAAGGUUAUGCUAAAACGAUGGUUUGGCAUUACAAUGAUGAGUAAAUGGGAAAAAAACUUGAUCAUUUUUGAACUGAUGUUUAUCAUGGCUCUGACUUGGAACAAAACAGAAAAGAUUUGUAGUUCACCUGAGGGGAUAGGAUUUGAGAUAUCCUAUGACGUACUGCUUCAAAUUUAAGCAAUUUGAAUAAUUUUCUCAUAGGAUGUAUGCAGGUUCAGUACUAUGCUUGAUGAGCUUUCUCUAAUAGAAUGGUAAUACUUGAUAGUGUAAAACAUUUGGAACGACUAUUAUUCCAUGAGAAUUUUUGCCAAUAGAUGUGUCCAAUAAUUGUUUGGUACACAAUUAAUGCAAUGAGCAAAUAAAAGUGCAGAUGCAUUCACUUGCUUCUAACAACUGCGUUAAAAUAGAAAUUCUGCUUUUUAUAUGAAUACUUCUAACUGCUGUUAAAUCGUUCGCUAGUUGAGCAGAAAGAUUUCACUUCUUUACAGUAAGAAAAUUAAAAUUUCAUACUAAUUAAUUCCCUAAAAUUUGGAUAAACCAUAUUUCCUGAUUUGCAUGAGGUCACAGAAAAAUCAUCCAAGGGGAUUGGUUCUGAAAAGGCAUGUAAAUUUUAUUAAGUUUUAUCUAGUCAAUCAAACAGAUGAUCUGAACUUCCUCUUUUUCGUCUAUGCUAAAUGAGCUUAAUCAGCCUUUGAGUAAAUUGAGAGGUUUUCAAUUGUAUGAAUAUUGAAUGCUGCGGCAUUGUACCAUCAUGAGUCAUUUUUGUAUAUUUUAAUUAGAACCACUUCCAUUGGUUAUCUCAAUGAAGUACCUCUCUGCCUGACUGAAAAAACAUUUGUUUUCUUUUUCUGAUUUUAUAUUUGGACAUUAUUUUCACUCCUAAGUUUUCUUUCUCCAAACAAAUUUGUUUGCUGCAACUAUGUAGUUCUCUUUUUACCAAACAAUCAUGCUAUCAUCCUAAUGUUAAUUUCAUUCUUGGAAAAGAAGGUCCAAAAGUUGAGGGAUAUCAAAAAUUUUGGAUAUAUGUGUGCUAAAUAUCCAUGCCCAUUGACAUCAACUUGAUGACUACGAUGAUGGUAAUUUAUAAUUUAAUUUAUUCAUUCACGUAUGAGUAGGAUAUACAUUGAUGGUUGAUUAUUCUUAGUUAGCUACAAAGAUUAAUAUUAUAUUGUGAUAUAUGAAAAUUGAGAAUUAUUUGGUAAUGAAUUAUUAUUCAUUUGGAAUGUGAAGGUGUCAAUAUAGAGACACCUUAUUUUUUGUUGAAAAACUGACUUUUGAAAAGUGUUAAAAAUAAAAUGUAGACCUACAGGUAAAUACAAGAAAUGAAUGGAUGCAUAUGCUCAAACGUGCUACUAAAAAUCAAAAUUAAAAUCUUUCAUGUGCUUAUCUUAUUAUAGUUAAAUACGUGAGAUUGAUAUUUUGGAAAGUAUAGAAGAUUUUGCAGAUGUGCAGGUGGAGAAUAAGAGCUUUCCAAAUAUGUGGUACCAAAUUAUUGUUCAAUGUAGUAGAGAUAACCCGCAUCGCGUGACUCAUAAUAGUAUUAUAUUUUUUGUAUUCAUUUCUAUAGUAAUAGUGCUAAUAAUGAUGUGAUGUCAAAGGGUUUAACAUUGAAUGAAUAUCGGGACAAGAAUUCCAGAAAGGUGUUGUUCACAUGCACCAUUGAAGGAUUUAUCUAUGUAAGAGUUUCCAUGAGAUCAUGGCUAUAGAGUUGGGCUAAUCCUCAAGGACUCACUAUAAUCAAGAUAAUACCACAUGGCCAUUAUCUGCGCCUAAAUCAACACUCUAUGUGUAGUAAUUGAAAUUUGGCUAAAGGAAUUUAAUUCGAGACUUAGUCCAUUAUUGCUCCCUCAAAUGAAAAUUGUUAUCACUAAAUAAGGUUCAAGUCGAAAGGCAUUUACACAACUAUUGCACUGUAUAAUGUUGUCAUUAUAUAUAUUAUAUAUAUAUUUAUCAAUUUUGAAAGUUUAAAACUUGCGGAGGAUUGUUGUAAUAUAAAUAUUUAAAGUUUAAAAUUUUCAAAUUAAUACCUUCAGUUUUUGUUUUUAUUUUAUUGACUAAAUACUGAAAAUAAUCGAGUUUGAACUUAACUACAACUGGAUGUGUAUAAUGCGGAAUUCAGUUAACCAAUAAAAAGUAACAAAUCACUCAUUUAUUACUUCUAGAUGAUUAAUUUUAAAAUCAAUUUAAACCCAAGUGUCAGUCAAGCUAUUUAGAUCAAAAGCAAUUAAGCAAAGAACAUCAAGUUUUGUAACGGAGGAAAACCACUUGAAGAACUCUUUAUAUGGAUAAAAAACCAUAGGGCAAACCUAGCCAAAAUGAUCUGCUAGAAAAAAAUAACCUACAGCUGGUAUAGAUACGAUAAAACCUUAGUAAACUCUAACCAUCCAAUCUGUAAAUCAUCGAAGAGCCUCUUCGAUUAUGCAGCUACACUUUCCAAAACUUUGUACUUGUUUUCCUUCCACGUGGAUCACCAAGAAUGAAUCUCGUUUCGGAAAAAUUAAAGCUGCCAGUUGUCUCUUCCAGCUUCAAAACUCUAAAGGCUUACUGGAGAAGGUAAGGGUUUUUGGUGCUUGAUUUGUGUAUCUUUUGUGUUUUGAUAUUCGGUUGAAGCAAGAGAAUAAUGGAAUCAAUGUUUGAUCUUAGUAUGAUGUUCUCUUGAUUGCAAUUAAGGCUUAAUCAAUAAUACAAGAUGUUUGGGAAUUUGAAAUAUGAAGCUUUGAUCUUGUGGUUGAGUUAAGAGAUCUUUGGAUGUGUAAUUGAUCUUUAAUAGUAUGAUCUCUAGUAUAAAGUAAUAAUUCAACGUACUUUGGGAUAGAUAUCACUAAUAUAUAUAUAUAUAUAUAUAUAUAUAAUAGGUAGUAUAAAGUAAUGAUUCAAUAAUACAAGAUGUUUGGGAAUUUGAAAUAUGAAGCUUUGAUCUUGUGGUUGAGUCAAGAGAUCUUUGGAUGUGUAAUUGAUCUUUAAUAGUAUGAUCUCUAGUAUAAAGUAAUGAUUCAACAUACUUUGGGAUAGAUAUCACUAAUGUACAUAUAAUAGGUAGUGUUUGAUGUUGAAUAGAGCUCCAAAAUGUAAUCAAAAUCAUGAACUAGGUUUGGCCGGAUAAAUACACCGCUCAAGCGCUACCUUCAUGCAUAGCAAGUAGUAAGCUCGCCGCUUAAGCGCUAGGUUCGUGCCUAGCAAGUGGUGACCUUGCUGAAAAAAUCGCUUGAGAGCCUCCUGCGUGGUCAAAAAGCAAUUUUACAGCUAAUUUUUCUCUUUGGUCCAUCUUGGACUUCUUUGACUACUUCACUGCAUAUACUAUCAAUCUUCGACUCUUUUGACUUUAAUUACAAUUCAAUAACCAUAAUUUUAAACUCGGGAAUGGCCAAUUACAAUUUAAACCUAACAAUACAAAUUAAAAUCAUUAAUUUUUAAUUUUUCAUGAAUGUGGGGUUUGAUUUUUCACUAUAAAAGAGGUGAAAAUUUCAUUGUUUGAUGCGACUUAGAAACAUUAGAAAAUACUCUCUAUACAUGUCUAUAUAUUAUUAUUUUGGCAACUCAAUAAAGAUCGUUCCCAUAGAAGGAGAACCAACUAUGAGCUAUAUGAGUUUUAUCUUGAAACUAUGUAGUGCCGAAAGUACUCGCAUGAAAAGAAAGCAACACAACUUUGGGAUAGCAUCCUUGAUGUGACUCCCAAACUCUUGCUUUCUAAAUCUAUUCUCAUAUUUAUGUUAUUUAUAGUUAUAUGUUUAUUGUUUAAUUAUAUUAUUCGUACUUACGUUAAUCAGUAAUCUACACAGAAAUCACUUGUUUUUCCGCAACAGUUUUCCUGUGUUGAACUGUUCGUAUUCUACAGAAGAAAGUAAGAAAGAAAUGAGGAGGGAGGAAGAAUUUCAAGAGGGCAGUUGAGGAAGAGAUGGCGACUCUUCAACAAGGCCAAAGCAUAAUGGAAGUUGACCUCAAGGGCUCUAAUCUUAUUGUGGUAUGCUUACUAUUUCUAUCUGACUCUUAUUUUCUUUUCAAGUUAAAGGUUGUGCUAAAACUUAUAAUCUGUAAGCAAAGGUGAUGGAUGUGGCAUUAUCUAAUCGAAGCUUGCAUAAUCUAUUUCUCUUAAUGGUUUUUGCUUGAUGUCUACAUGGCUAUUGCUAUUUUCUUUGAAGUUCAUUAUAUUCCUGAAGUUAAUUUGGAUGAUUCUUUUGGUUUCAAUCAUUGGGAGCUUUGUUGUGGCUUAUAAAAGUGGGCGAGAAGAGGCAGUCGAGUCUGGUAGAAAAAUGGGUGCAUCAUAAUGCAAGUACUCUAUAAUGAACAAGUUAGUCUACUUCAAAAAUCUCCAAACUGGUAAGCACUUGUUCUAAUUCUUAACUAUUGUUUCUCUAUUGUUGUAUCUUCGAUUUUUAAUAUUAAAAUUAGCUUAGAGCAGAAAGUUCAUUCAUAAUUAAAUAAGCAAGUUAACGCAUGCUGCUGGCUUUUAUUGCAGGACAGAAACUUUCAAAUCAUGUCCCUGGUUAACUUGAAACAUGACUUGCAGUCGUAUACUUAAAAAAAAAGGAUGAUUGACGAAAGUUAAAAGUGAUGAUGAUGGACUCGCGCCAUAGAAACCAAUACAAAUAGACUAAAUACUUUUUGGACAUAGAUUACGAAUCGAGUUCUGAUGUUGAUUCUUGAAUUGGAUAUUGUGAUAGUAUUUACCUUUAUGUAUCAUAGAAAAUUAUCCUUAAUUUUAUAAUCAGCUUGAGAUUUUUUUGUGAAAAGUUUUUUUGUCAUCGCCAGUCCACCGAUCACCGGUCCUUAGUUUUUUUGUAUAAUCAGCUUAAUUUUAUAUUGUGAUAGCUAUUCACCAUGUUGCACAUUUCAAGCAUGUGAGAACCCCAGAUUAUAUCCAUUUUUUGUUAUCCUCCAAAUGAUAGUAUGUAGC